ensembl:lncRNA
UGAGGCGACAAAAUGGCGGCGGGCGGAGAGCGCGGGAAGGGCCCGCGGCGCCCUGAGGGCCGCUCGUUCCCUUCCCGUCCCCCUCACCGUCCCAUUUUGAAGUGUUUUUUUCCCCUCACAGCGUGAAGAUUUUGGGGUCAACGCUGCUCUUUCCUCCCCCUCCACACGCGCCCUCCCAGGUGGGUAUUUCGAUAGCUUGAUGCCUAAUUUCUCCCCCUCCACUUCUCUCCUCCGCAGGGGUUGCAAUCGCUGUCCUCACCGCGUGGAAAAUGCCCAAUUAAAAAAACAAAAACAAAAAAAAAAAAAAAAAAAAAAGCAAAACAACGCUAAAAAAGCCCCAAACAGCCGAGGACUGAGGGAAGGAACUGCCUCCUCACGGCCACCGUUCUGGUAAUUAAAAACAUACAUGUGGUGAGAUCAGAUGUGGUAAUACUGUUAAAAAGAAAAAAAAAAAAUCCUGUCAUAUUCUUGUGCUGCAGCUGCAAUACCACACAUCUUUCUGUGCUUUUUUUUUUUAUUGUUUGUAAUGCUUCCUUACCUUUAUCCACACCACAGUGUAGCAUUGCCCCUCCUUUGUUAAAAGCCUCAUACCUAAAAUACCUUUUUUUUUUCUUUUAAAAUUAGAGAUUUAGGGCCGUGCAGGUGCUCUUUAUUCCCACAUGUCUCUAUAUAUCUCCUUAUCCCAGAGAUGGAUUGCAGAACAAAGCCACUCACCUACAACGCUAUGAUCCAAUUACACACAAUUACUCUCACUUUGGCCCGUACGUAUCUUGGAUUUUAUAUAUUUAUUACCUUUGUUUUCCUCCAUUGGCUUUCUACUGUCCUAAGAGCAAGAGGGAAAAAAAAUUACACGCACACACCCAAAAGAAAAAAAAAAAAGACGAAAAAUAAUAGUUAAAAAAGGUAAAAACAAGCAAAAUGCGACCAGCCGCCCAUUUGAUCAGUCCGUGGUGAAGAUUGGUGCCUGAAUGCUUUAUUUGUUCCACAGAGGUGUAGAUUUCCCUUGGGAUGUUGGGGAAAGAUUUCUUAAUUAAAGGAUAAAAAAAUAAAAAGUAAAAAAUAAAGCAGUGAAACAGAACCAAAAAGGAAAGCAAUAUUAAUUAUUUAAAAAAAAGAAAAAAAAAAAAAGAAGAAGGCAGCUGACUCUGCCAGUGCAGUCGGGCAGGCACUGAAUUCAUUGCACCGAAAUGAGGACGGAUGAGCUGAACUGAGUGGCAGGGCUUAGUGCAGCUCCGGGAGGAGGGCUCAGCUCCUUGUCCCACUAUCCAGCGCCGCACACACCACCAUUUGUGUGCUUUUGUGCUUUAUUUCCAGCCCCGCGGGCUGCCCUACGUGAUGCACGGAGCGACGUGCGUGCCCCGCUGCUGUGCAUUCCUCUCCCUUUUAUUGCCUGCUCUAUGGCUCAGCUCGCUUUUUUUUUUCUCCCCCCUCUGCGGGCAGCAGGGUUGCUCUGCUUUCCUCUCCCCAGCUCGGCUGCUGAUUCCAGAAGUUUCUACAGCAAAGGAAAUGCACGGGGGAGGGGAGCACCUACUGCGGAGCUUUGCCGCAGCCGGGCAGGCGUGGAGGAGGAGGAGGAUGCGGAGGAUGCACCACCUCCCUCUCUCUCUUUCUCUUCCCCCCUCCCUCUCUCUUUGGUUCAGGACGCUUUCCAAGCCUCUCCCCCUCGCUACAUUUCCCCAUCCUUGCAGAGGGUGCUGGGAGGUGUUUGCAAGUUGUUUUUUUUCCUUCCCCCCCCCCCCCCACGCACACACACACUCCGUUUCCUCCCCCUUUGCUAAAUAAAUUAAAAGCAGAGAUGUCUCCUGAUGGAGAUGGAUGAGGCUGGGCUCACUUGCAUGCACUGUGCCCCAGCUCCGAUCUGCUGCUUAGGGCAGAAGUGACCUUUCCCAGGCAGUGGGAGGGAGCUUCCCCCCACCCUGCUAUGCUGCUGCUUGGAAUUCAUCUUACAUAGCAGCCUCAUUUUUUUUUUUUUAUCCCCCCCUCCAAAGAACAGCUUGCUGCUACAGUGAUUGUUUUUUAUUAUUUUUAUUUAAUUAUUAUUUUCAGCCCAUGUUGCAGCUUCCUUAUGAUCGUUUUGUGUGUGUGUGUGUGUGUGUAUGCUUUGAACUGCAUUUUAAAUUUGCCCAGCUGGAGACAAGUCUCGAUUAGAGCUGGAACAAUAGCUCCAUUUUAUUAAUAAUGGGAAGGAUUUACGAUUCUACAGCACCUUCCUUGGAAGGCUUUCAAAACCAUUUGCAAACUCUCACAAAUGUAAGCUUUCACAGCCCUGCCUGUGAGGUGGGUAAGUAUUUCCACGGUGCCACCAAAAAUCAGGGAGAGCUGCAGUCGGUGUGUGCUCCAAUAACGGCAGAUCCGGUGGGUUUCAGGGCUGCAAAGCCGGGAGGAGGGAGGCUGGUAAAAGCUGUAACCUCAAUCUGUUUGGUGCUGUCUGUAGAUGCAGAUAUUUGUCUUUGUCUUGGGAACCAGGCUGCUAUUUCUCAGCCUGCUCUGUGCUCCUCCUUGCUUUUUGCAGAUUGAGGAUUCGGACUUGCCUGCUUGUCAGUAAACAUCUGCUUAUAGAUUAUUAUUAUUAUUAUUUUUUAAUUCAUUGCUUUUUUGUAGUCCCCAGGUGACCUCCUUUAGUGCUGGCUCCGCUGCGGUCUGACCACAGCUUUGCAUUAAGGCAGGCUGCGAGCACUAAUGUGUCUCCAUGCGAGUCCACGUGACAUUGCCCAGGGGACAGGGCCCACUGAGCUAAUGCAGAUGCUCCACUUCAAUUACACAACCCUGCAUCCCCUCCCUGACCCGAGUAGUGCAGGGGAAUGUUGCAAUGUUGUGGGUGAAAGCUGCCUUCUGCCCUAAUUUUUGUAUAUAUAUUUUUUUCCUCCCAGGGAAAUGCAGGAUUGUUUGUGUAACUCCCACUCUACAGCAGAUAGCUUCUCUGUGAGUAUUGUAAACAUGCAGCAAGCUGGGCAGUGGGGACUGGCCUUGCUGAGGAGGGUAAGGCACAGUGCUCUGGCUGUGUGUGUGCUGUACACCGCCACAGAAAGCCACAAUGUUUCUGUGGUUACUUCUGGAGGGCAUGAGUGGGUCCCAGGGCUUCCCCUUCCCACCCAGUACUGUUUUUCAAAAGAAAAGGCUGCUGCUUCUGGAAGAAGCUCUGCCUUGUGGCCUUAUUUUAAAAAAAAAUAAUAAUAAUUAAAAAAAAAAAGGCUGUGGAUUAGCCAUCUUCAUCAUUAAAUGAGGCUGCAUGUGCUGCUGUGUGUGAGAUGUUAACCAUUCGUUUAUUUGGGAGGUAAUGUGCUCGGGUCGCUGCUCCUGGAGCAGUGCCACCAGGCUCCAUCAGGCUGCUGCUGGCAGGUGCAAAAGCUGGAGGGCUGGCUGUUGGUCCCCUUCCAUCCCUAUUCCCUUUUCAGUAUCUCUGCACUGGAAGGUGUGGAAAGGAGGAGACCGAAACAACAGUGAGGAGGACAGGGGAGGUUCCAGUGCCAGAGAAGAAACCCUGUGCUUUUUUAUCCUUGCUCGUGGUAGCUUUUAUUCUAAGCACAACUGACUGUAUCUCGUGAGAAGACUUAGUCUGACCCUUUUGGAUGAUAAAAACAGUACUGGUUUUAACCGUUUAUUUUUAUCCCUUCCCUGUGGUCAUGUAGAGGAGCGAGCUGUGCAAUUAAAAUGAGAUAGCAAAGGACAGCUCCCUCCCCCUUUCCCGUUUCAAAAACCUUCCAGAGUUGUGUGUUCUUGAAGUGCUGCAUAGGCAGAAAAGCAUACAAUGCAGUUGUCAGCAUUGUGCUGAUGUGUGGCACAUUAAAAAAAAAAAAAAUACACACAAAAGGGGUGGGGAGAGCUGGUGCCUCCAGGGAGUAAAACUGUGGGGCCCCUUUCCCUACCAGCAAACGGACCUACACGCAAUAGUUUAUUACUUCUCAUUUUGCUCAGGCAAAUGUAAUGCACAGACGUCAGAGGGAGCGUUGCAACGUGCUAAAUGGUGUUGCUGAAGAUCAGGGUCCCCUUGAACUAUUUUUCCUGUGAGCUUGCUCCCACGAGAUGCCACAGCUUUAUUACUCAAUUCCUCAAAGUUGUGCUUACUUGCCAGAAGGAAGGAGUAUGCUUCCUUUCUGGGUGUAGUUUCUUUUGUUGUGUGGCAGAAGGUAAUCAAAAGCAGCUGGUUCUGAUCUCUCCUAGGUCACCAUGACUUCAAUGUGCACAGUCCAAGCAGUCACUUGUGAGCAAGGAGAGCAGGUAUUGGCACCUCCUCAUUAGCCUUCAUCAAUGAGAAUAUUGGCUAUGGUGUUGCGUGAGUGCCACUGGCUGACCAAUGGAGGGGCCCUGCCCUCCUAAGCUGGAGCAACACUUUCUGAGUGGUGAUUUCAUUGCCUGGUUGCUGCAGUGAUUUGGAGCACAGCUGUGACGUUAUGCUUUUUCUGGCAAAAAUUUAGCUGAGGGGUAAGUAUGAGAUGUCCAGGCCAGAUUUCAUAGUGUGAUGGAGAGCUGGGAGAAGCUGGUGCGUGGUGUAUGUGAAAACUGCCAAUUGCUUGUGUUCCUAAAAAGGCUCAUCUGUGUUUGAAUUAAACCAGCCUGGAUAGGACGUUCAUUUUAUCCUCUUGUUAGGGAUGUGUUUGGAGAUAUGCCUGGUGCUGAUUGGUGGCCUCUGCUGGCCUGCAGGUACAGGGGACCAACAAACUGUUUGGGAUGCCUUCAUGUUUUUCAGGCCACUGUACCCUGUGGGAAUUGUACUACUUUUCUGUGGCAGUUUGGGAUAACUGAGGGCUCCCUUGGGAGUGUUGGACUUCUACCGCCACACGCUUUGGAUUGAAGAGUUACCAGAACGACAUCUGUGAGGUUUCCAAGCUAAACAAAACCUGAAUUUCUGGUGCAAAAAGCAAGUGAAUGAUAGAAACCUCUGCUCCUCUUCCAGCGGGGGGACACUGCAGCCUUUUAAGCUUUCCUAUUAUGCCAAAGAGGUAAAAAAGCAUAAGCGUGCAUUGUGUUAUGCAGUGCUAUUGGUGAUAUAAAAUGAAAGCCAAAGCUAGCCAAGAAACUGUUCUCCUUUCAAAUACAUCUCCACGCACAAGUACUUUUCUUCUUUGCCUUUCCCUGAAGUGAGAGAGCAAUAAGGGCACAAGCGUGCGCUCAGUCUGCUUCAUUUAGAACACAGUGAAGUGACUUCGGUGCCAACAUGAUGAAUCAAAAGCAUUGAAGAUAGCUGGCUUGCUAUUUAUUUUGCUCUGGGCAUGACAAUCAGAUGUGAUUGGGGAUGUGAAGAAGAACAGCCUUCAACUCACGGAGUUGCACUGUUUUAAACCCUUGUCCUGUGACUUCUCCAGCGUGAUUUCUGUCAUUCCUGCUGGGCAUUGCACGUGGGCCUUUUCAUGGAGAGGUAACGCACUGCAGCUGUGUGUUAAACAUGGCAACAUACAGGAUACAGUGAUCUCUCCACUCCCAGGAGCCUGGAAGACUGAAGCCCUCUGCCUAGAGGAUGAAAUGCUUCAUGUUUGGAAAAAAAAACUAGCAGGCUUUGUCUGUGACAGCUCCUUUCCUGUGGAUGUCCUUCCAGCCAGGCUGCCCGCAGUGUGACAGCAGUGACCCUGUGUGAGGUUUCUUUGAAGGACCUGGGAGACUGCGUGGCUUUUUCUUGUCCCUCGGAGGUGCUUCCCUGGCAGGGAGGGAGGAAAAUGAUUGGCAGUGCUGUCACAGGAGGCAUGCUUACCUGGCUAGGGGAAAGCUUGGUGUGGAAAAGCCAGCUGGUGCAUGGUUUGGGGAAGGAGAGGUUCCUUUCUCUCCAGAAUGGAAUCCCUUAAGGAAGGUAUAGACAAGCAGUUCCUGCUCCUGGGGCUUCUGGCUGGUUAAAACAAAGAGCUGAGCCCAUUUCCAUGGAGAAAUGUAUGAUAGAGCACGUUGCAGUGCUUUUCCUUGCGUGUGCGUGGCUUGGUCACACGUUUAACUAAUAGAUGGUUUGCAUGCAAGAGGUUAUUGCUUUUUUAUACUUUUAAUCAGUCUAUCUCCAUUGGGCAGAGCAGCUUCACAGCCACCAGCACGGGGGAAACUGAGGCACGGGGCUACAGUGGGAUUACAGGCAGAGCCGGGGAUAAGGCUCAGGUUUGCCGAGGCUCAGACCGACGUGCGUCAGAGGGCUGAUUAAAUGGAGAGAUUUGCAAAGGGAAGUGACCUAUAGCUCCACGGCCGGGACGGUGUGCUGGACUCGAUCCUUAUGGGCACCUUCCAACUCAAAGGGCAGUUUGGUCAGGGGAAGGGCUGGGUAAGCACGGCGAGCACGGCCGACAGGGAGCGAGAUGUGGUGAGCUCCUUCCAUUGCCUUAGCCUGGAGCACAGCCAACCCGCGGGGCUCAUCCAGCACUGAACUUUGGAGUCGUUGCAGAUAAACAGCGCUAUAGGCUAAUAAAAGGCUCUGCCACGCAGGGCCCGGUCUGCCCGCACCGCAAUGACUUUGUUACGUGCUGACUGCAGUGAGGGACGGCGCUGGGUUUGCCUUCUCCUGGCCUUGGAUGGAGAGGAGCGGGCAGAACCUCGAGGCCUUUUGCCCCGCACCCAUUUCUGCACGGCAGCCCUUUACAUUUCACAGCGUGCUCCAUUUUUUUUCCUACUCCUAUUCCUUUUGUAGCAUAGCCCCCCUUUUUUGCAACAGUCCCCCUUUCUUCCUUCGUACCGUAUGUUUUAUUUGCUUAUUUCUUUAUGUGCAAUCCCUUAAUCCAUCACCUUGCAUUGCAGCCCCGCUUUUCGGCAUGCAUCCCUUGCUUUCCACAACCCACCUCGUGCAUUUAUUACUUUCCAUCGCAGCUCCCGUUUCUGGCUCGCACCUCCUCUUUUUUUUUUUUUUUUUUUUUGCCGUGCUUCCUUUAUCUAUGACUUCCCAUCCCAGCCCUGUUUGUAUCUGCCAUACAGUCCCUCCGUCACGUCGCGUUACACCGCGCUCUGCCCGCUCCGCUCCCGCAGCCCUCCACCGCUGCGC